AUUGAACGCUGGCGGCAGGCCUAACACAUGCAAGUCGAGCGGAUGACGGGAGCUUGCUCCUUGAUUCAGCGGCAGACGGGUGAGUAAUGCCUAGGAAUCUGCCUGGUAGUGGGGGACAACGUUUCGAAAGGAACGCUAAUACCGCAUACGUCCUACGGGAGAAAGCAGGGGACCUUCGGGCCUUGCGCUAUCAGAUGAGCCUAGGUCGGAUUAGCUAGUUGGCGGGGUAAUGGCUCACCAAGGCGACGAUCCGUAACUGGUCUGAGAGGAUGAUCAGUCACACUGGAACUGAGACACGGUCCAGACUCCUACGGGAGGCAGCAGUGGGGAAUAUUGGACAAUGGGCGAAAGCCUGAUCCAGCCAUGCCGCGUGUGUGAAGAAGGUCUUCGGAUUGUAGAGCACUUUAAGUUGGGAGGAAGGGCAGUAAGUUAAUACCUUGCUGUUUUGACGUUACCGACAGAAUAAGCACCGGCUAACUCUGUGCCAGCAGCCGCAGUAA
rnacentral:rRNA from 1 species